UUCAUCCUGGGGAUUCCAACGGAACCACCACUUCCGGAGAAGUUUCCUCUGCCCUCUUCCCUGCCCUGCCCUAGAGUGUUAGUCAGGCGAGGCCGGGCUAUGCUGCAGGAACAACCAACCUCGAAUCUCAGCAGGACAUCACCGCUAAGGUUCGUUUCUCAGUCAUGCCAAGAGUCCCCCGCAGAUCCAGGCAACCCCGCAGAACCCUGUGCCGCAACUCCAGGUUAUUCCCUGCUUGUGAUCACACGUUCUCCACACAUCUGCCUCAAGGGGGGAGUGAGAGCUGGAGAACCAUGGAGAACUGUAUGGGGUGGGGCGUCGUGUAUGCUCGCGUUUCAUUGGUCAGAACAAGUCACGUAACUCCAAAAUGCCCAGGCAGGAGAGGACUAGACACAGGUGAUCACUAGUCUUGUCUUCCACACCAGACCAGGUUUCCUUCUAAUUGUUCUCACAUCCACGUGUACCUUCCUUUUAUGUGUCGGGCUGUAGUGACAUACUGGUGUGAUUCCAUGAUGGACGGCCCUCCUUCCCCGAUCUCCAUUAGAGUAUAACUUCUGUGAGGCGGGAGCCAUGUCUACAUAACCUCAGCCUUCUCUACAGUGUCAUCGAAGCUUCGUCGUCCCUGUGGCUCUGACACUUUGUGAGAAGUCACUUGGGGGUGAGUUCUCAGGGGGGUGGUACGAGAAGGGUUUAAAAUUAGUCACAAUCGUCUGUGAUCUCAUCCGUUGGUUGAACUGCUGGGGAGGCAAGUUUCAUCAGAGGCCACGUCAAACCAUCUCUUCUCUCCGUCGUUCAACAUGAUUUUAUGAUAAACGGAGCUGUCGCACAGGGUGGUGAUCAGCCAUGUCACUAUCAUUGUCAGGUUCUCCCACCUCGGGACACGUGGCAGACCUCUACCUCUCACCUCCUGCCAAUGCAGCCAUGGACUUGCCUUGUCCAGUGGGAUGUGAGAAGAAGUGAUGUGUCAUAUGUUAUGACACAUGUGAUGCUCUGGGCAGAAAUUUUUCAUAGUCGUUGGGCAAUUCACCUUUUGCCUCCUUCUCCUGCCCCAGUAACUGGUAACCCUCCAGACAGGAGGCCUCAACGGCCCAGAUGCACGAAUGAGGAGUCUGAUGGACUCCUUCCCACUGGAUAACCUAUCCCGAAGGAUAACCUUCCCGCUGACCUCCAGGGGCCACGCAGCGUGAGGGAAACUAUGCUUCUGUUGUGUAUAGGCACUCAGGUUUUCAGUCGUUCGUUCCUGCAGUGUAGCCUAGCCCCUCCUGCCGGAAGUGAGUCCCAGUGUGGACAGCAGACCCCCUGGGAGGCGCUGCAGAGCACGUUCCAAGAGCAGGUUCUCUGGAAUCAGGCGGUCCUGGGUCUGAUCCCUGCUGUGCCUCUUCGAGGCUGAGCCCCUAGAGACAAGUUACUUAACAUCUCUGGGCCUCCUUUCCUUUCUCUGAAAAGUGAAGCCGGGACCCGUCUCACAGAGUCCUUUGCCAGGACCGGGUGAGAAAAUAAAAGAGCCGGGCGUGGUUCCUCCCAUUUAGUAAACUCCGUAAAUGUUGAUGGAGCCAGAGUGCAAACAGGUAUAAGUUCCUUUGCUUUGCUACGCAGUUCAAUCUAUUUCAAGCCGCGAGUUAGAAGCCAGUCAGUUUAGGGGCGCCUGGGUGGCUCAGUCGGUUAGGUGUCCGACCUCGGCUCGGGUCAAGAUCUCGAGGUUUGUGAGUUCGAGCCCCGCGUCGGGCUCGUGCUGACAGCUCAGAGCCUGGAGCCUGCUUCGGAUUCUGUGUCCCUCUCUCGCUCUGCUGCUCACCUGCUCCUGCUCUUGUGUCUCUCUCUUAAGAAUAAAUAAGACCCGUAAAAGAAAAAAAAUAGAAGCCAGUCCGUUUAGUGUUGUCUGUCUUGCCCAGUGAUACCUCCUCGCUCCAGCAGGGCAGGGGGACAAGGGUGACCGUCUUCAAUCUCUGUUGGCAUCUGCUGAGUCUUCCGUAUUGCCGUCUCGCUUCUGGUCAGGUGCCCACACCUGCCACGGCCAGAACGGCCUUCCUUCCUGAGAAGACAUUCCACAUCCCCCUCCUGUCUCUGGGCUUCUGGAAAUUUCUCCACAGAAAGUCCCGUUGUCCUGGGCUAGCUACCGGAGCCCCUGGGAGGCUGUGUGCCCCCUCUGGCUGGACACACCUCUCUAUUCUGCUCUCCCUCCGUGCCGGAGGCUCGCUCUUGCUGUGGGAACAGGGACACUGCUAUUUCAGCUUUGGAAUUCCUUAAAUCUACCUGCUUUAGGGUGGGCUGACGGGGGGUGGGGGUGGCUGUCAAGUUCAUUGAUUUCUUCAGAUGCUCCUCCACCCCCAGGGUCUAUGGAUCUAAUCUCGGAAAGACAGUUUGGCUUUCUGAGCCAAUGUGAACAAAUAUGGCCCCAGCACGUCAUGUCUCCCAGAAGGAGAUUUGGGGACCCGGGCGAUGGGCUCACAAGUACCUUUUCUCUGUCUUUGCUUCCACGUCCUUUCCUGGAGGCAAUGGAUGCCAUAUGUUGGAGCCGCUCAGAAGAUCUCUCUUGAAAAUAAUACACGCUCAGCAAUAUUUAUUGGGUGAUUAACUGGCCUGUGAUCGAGACAGCCACCUGACUGUUUUGGGUUAAAGCAAGUGGAGUGGAAUAGCAUUUCGUAAUGGAUGAAUCACUCAGAUAUAUGCAUUAUCCAACUAUCACUUAAAUACCACAGCAACCCUGCCAAGGAGGUGUUGGUAGCCUCAUACACGAGUUCCCUGAAGUCUCAGAGCGUCUAGGUAACGUGUCUAAUGUCAACGCAGCUGGUAAGGGACAGAUUUGAAUCCAGGAUUUGCCCCUCAGCCCAGGACUCGUCCCCACCUCGAGUGGCAAAAGCCCAGUGGAAACAAAGGUGACCAAAAAAAAAAAAAGAAAAGAAAAAAAAGGCAGGUAAGUGUAACUCUUCAGCCGUUUGUCUCGAAACUUUUGCCGGUCUCUGAUCCAACAUCUGCGGGCUGUUUCUACUUCCUGCUGAGCCCCUUUCCAGAAGGCUCCGUCUGGAAAGGACUCCAAAUUCAGCACUGAAAGCCCAGCUCCUGGUAACCGAAGAUGGUUGGCAAAUGGUCUUUGAACAAACCUCUCUCAUGAAACGCCGGGUCGGUUUCACAAGUACAUAAAAUAACAACGGAAUCAAAGACAUAAACAAGAACAAGCCUGUAAUCGUCACAAAGCGGGCAGGCGUGGGGGAAGGAAGGCGGCUUCUGAUGCUCUCGCCCCUCCUGUUUUCUUUGCAGGCGAGUCCAACGCUCUGGCCAUCUGUUCCUUGUUGUGGGUGGUUAAGUGAAAUGGGCUGCCAAUACAAAUAGCCCCACUUGAGGUUUGUUUGCAUAAAUUGUUUUGAAAGCUUCAUGACGAAUUUUCAGGAUUACUUGCAGUGGUGGGGACCUCGGUGGAGGCGGAAAUAUAAAUUUAGAGAUGCCAGUUGGAAUCUAUUAAUUUCCUUGAAGCCCAUCGCCCUGGCUCUGCUGCUCAACUGGCUGUGUGACCUUGGGCAGGUGAAUUAGCCUCUCUGGUCUUUAGGCUCCCCAUCUGCUCGAUGGGAGGUGAUAGGCAUUGUGGACACCUCGUGGGACAAUGAAUUUGAAACAAGAUGAGGCAGACGAAAUGCUUAGCGCGGGGAUCGGCGCGCGGCGCGAGCUCGGGAAAGGAAGCGAUCGGAGCCUUUCUGCUGAAAUGAGAGGAAGGGUGGCCCCAUUUGGUGCUCAGAGGCAGACAGCCCUGGGGUGGUGGGCCAGCUACGUGACACACUAGCUGGGUGACCUUGGGAAACAUAGCUUCUCUCUGAACCUCGGGUUUUAAAUUCGGGGAAUGGGGCUAAUCAUGGGUCAUGAAGGCUACACGAGGCCACGUGCAAAGCACAGAGCACGAUGUCAAGUGUUCACAACGGCUGCCACGGUGAUUAUUCCACGAAGACCAUGGCUAGGCUACCGCUGGCUUGGGUUUGGGCUCUUUACUCUCUAGGCCUGGGAUGGUGCACCCCCGUUCCGUCCCCUGUGCCUUCUCUGUUGCUUCCGAUCUUGGUUGGAGCCACCCGGAGUGCAGUUUGUUCAGAAGGAGCGAGACGGGGGCGCGGCUAGGAGGGGAGGCACAGGAGUGUCACAGGGGUACUUGACGGCCGUGCUCUGGACUCUGGCAGGGAAGACAUUAAGGCCACCGCCUGUGCAUGCUCGGCUGAUAAAGAAAGAAGACGCACAGAGCGAGGUGGAGAGAGGGAGACACAGCGCAGAACAGCCCGCGGCCAAAUGUCGCCAAGCUUGCGCUGGAUUCCGGACCCCCCCCCCCCCCCGGUGCUGCUGGCGUCUCAUGGCGCACGGCGAGGGGUCUCCAGGGAGAGCCCAUUUUAGGGGACCCAGAGAGAGAAACGAGAACACGCCCGCAGCCCGCCUGAGGAUCCGGGGACACCACCCUCCGAGAGCACAGAAGAGAGAGUUUUAGGUGUUUGCUGUCACGGUGAAGCGGAAGAGAGAGAGCGAGAGAGAAUCCCAAGCAGGCUCUCUGCUGUCAGCACAGAGCCCAGCACAGAGCUCGAUCUCACGAACCAUGAGAUCGUGACCCGAGCCAAAAUUAAGAGUCAGGUGCGGGGCUGAGACUGAGCCACCCAGGCGCCCCUAAAAGUAAAAUGUUUUCGUAGGAACUGGCAGGAAGUAAAUGCUCAAUAACACACGAGUCAUUUUGAUCAUUAUCAUUUGUUACUUUCAUUAGCCCUUAUGCUCUAGGGUUUGACAGGUACCCCUUAAUAACCAGUUAAUGCGUUCUGUGUGAAAGAUACUCAGCCUCUCAGGCACGGAAUAAUUCUGAUCUCCGCUCCCAAGAAGGUCAUUUCUUUAUCUGCUGUUUUUACGUCGUUAACGGCAACGUGCAUCUUCUCUGAGUGUUUGUUUAACCACAAGUGUCAGUCUUUGGGGGUUACCGUGGACCUGAACUGGACCCACUAGAAAUGAGCUACAC